CUGUUUCGACCCCAACCCUGUUUAGUUUCCUUACUUGACAAGGACAUUGCACGUUUAAGCUCUCUCAACAUGCCUCUAACAAGAACCUCCCAAUAGCAUAGGGUACCAUCUAAGCUAGUAGUCAUUUGGCAUAUGUAUUACAACUCUUGACAUACUUCAUUUACAUCAUUUAUAUCAGAUCAAUUAGAGAUUAGGAGGAAAUUGGUGACAUAUCUUACCAUUUUUUGUUGUUGGAAAUUUUGGCAUAUAAACAAACCGUAGUAGAAAUUAUGGCCUCUGCUUGUAAUGCAAGCUAUGCUCUUCCGAAGAAAUCUAACAAAAAAUAAGAUUAGAUCAUCAGAGAGACUCUUCAACAAUGAAAGUCAGAAUAAAUCUACAAAAUUUGCGUCAUUCUUCAAGAAAGAAAAAACAAAAGAAAACAAAAAAAUGUGCUUACAGAGGAGGAGUAGAAUGCCACAGACAGAUCAGCUGAUGAUGUACAUUUUGUUUUUUGCCUCUUCCAUUGAAUUCAUGCCGAAAAAGAAGAAGCUUAGUUACGGGGUUAUAUUAGAUCAUUGAAAUUGCGAGAUUAUUAUGAUUUGAAAGUGUAAGGCAAUUACAUAAUUACCUCCUCUUUUUCUGCAUCUAAAAUCUUAAGGUUGUCAAAUGCCUUUCAUCAAAAUAGACUCCAAUGGGUUACUGCACAAAUUACCAAAAUAUUAUGAAAGAUGGUAAGUAAAAAGUAGGAUUAAAACAAAGGAAUUUCAAUUGAAUAAUUUUUUAACAGUAAGCAUCCAACUUGAAUGAUAUUAGAAUGAAAAAUAGCAUGAGACACCAGAGUUAACAAACCUGAUUAACCACUCAAUUUUUUCUUGAAAAUAAAUUAAGGUCAUAAAAAUAAAAAAAAUGGAAAGGAUGUACCAACCCGAUAACACAAAAUUUGUGGGAUGUGAGCAAUUUUAUGCCAAUCAACGCCAAUGUCCUUCCGACAUCUUUCCUCCAACUGAGGAACUCCAUUUAUAUUUAACCAUUGCAAAUUGGUUAGGCAACGCAUCUCGUCCGGAAGCGAUGUUAAAUUGGGCAAAUUCCAGAGAAGGAGCCCUUGUAGAUUUGUUAGAUGUUGAAUCCAGUCCGGAAGUUGCCAACACUUCGGAAUAUCUGCCAGCCAUAGAGAGCGCAGGCUUGUAUGAUCUUGGAAUAUUUGGAACUUAGGUGCUGAUAACUCCAGCUCCUUGCAAUCACUUAUUGAAAACUCUUCAAGGGAAGUGAGAUGUGGGAACACAGGAAACAGUGACCUCAAUCCACUGCAACUAUAGAUUUUUAAUGUUUUCAAUUCAACAAGAUGUUGAAGCCCAAGAGGGAGGGACACCAGCUUUGGAAUAUUACCAAUCUCCAAAUAAGAGAGAUUCUAAAGGGGUUCCCAUUGCAUGCCCUUCAAAUCAACCUUCGUACAACCAUCUAUUGUUAAUCUUUUGAGGCUGGUGAGAUGUUGCAGGGACUCAUCUAGCAUGGGAGUGUCCAGAUCCUCCAGAUUCUUUACAUGGAAAGAUUUCAAUUUGGAGAGAAGAAGAGAAGAUGUUGAACUUGAUGGGGUCUUAGCAUUCAUGUUCAUCUUGAUAGUCUGCUUAAACGGCCUUGAACUGGUAUUCAUCAACUUUAGAUUAUCAUCGACUGAUGGAUACAACGGCAUUGAAGUCAAAGGGCAAUUUUUAAUCCAUAACUUGGAAAGACAAGGAAAUGCCAUGGUUGACGUUCCCAUAACUGUUGUAUCGUCCUCGUUGGAAUCAUCAUCGAUUGGUUUUAUCGUCCUCCACCAACUCUUCAUUUUCCGGCAAUUCUCGAGGUGAAGAUACUUGAGAGAUGGGAAGAAUGAUUCUGGUUCUCCUUGACUUCCUUUUGAGCUAUUAUCAUCCAUGUACUCCAGCUCAGAACAAUCACGAAUCGUCAAAUUUUGAAGACAAGGCAAUUGAGCAACGGACGGGAGAUAUUUGAAUUUAUUGGGACCCCAUAUGUUAAUAUCAACGAGAUUUGUGAGCAAAGAAAGCCAACUUGGAAAUUUGGGAUCACCCCCCCUCCAUAGAUACGGAGCUCCUUGAGAUUAGGAUGGGGCUGGAGGUCUUCAAGCAACUUAUUGUCAUCAUCAUCGUUAUCACCAUUCCAUUCUAAAAUCAACGAUCUCAAAUGUUGCUUCCCUUUCAAAAUUGGAGUCAACUUCUCUUUUGCAUUUUUCACAAAUCUCAAAUUUGUUAUUGUAAGCUCUCCCCUCAAGUUGUUAAGCCCACUCAAUUCACUUAGAUCUGCACCGUCAUGGGAACCAUCUCUAUCCACUACAAACAUGCUUAACUCCUCAAGUGAAGUCAGCUUCCCUAUUCCACGUGGCAUGUGAGUUAAAUCAUCACAUCCAUAACAUGUAAGAUGGGUAAGAUUCACCAAUUUUUCAAUCUUCUUCAGUAAUUCUUUAAGCGAAUCACAGUAGUCAAGUUUCAGCACUUGCAAAUUUUGUAUCUUGCAAAUACUCUUUGGGAGAAUCUUAAGAUUAUUGCCAGAAAGAUCAAGGUACCUCAAAUGUUUCAGCUUAUGAAUGGAAAGUGGAAUUGUAGUAAAUUCAAAAUAAUCCAAUUUUAAGACACGCAAGCAUCUAUAAUUUGAAAUUAUAAAAUGCCAAAUUUCGUCCCUCUUAUCUUGAUAUCCCUCAUUUGAAAAUUGUAACAAGGUUCGCAACUUUUUUCCUUUAAAUAAAGGAAUUAAUGAAUCAUCAUUAAUUGACAUAUGACGACAUUUUUCAUCAACCUCACUUGCACUUGAAUUUGAAUCUACAAUACCACUCUCUUUCCCUGCUACAAAUUCAGCUAGAUCAUGCAUUAAAUCAUGCAUUUUACAUGUCAUAUUUAAGUGUCUUUCUUUAAUUACUUCUUGAAAGAAACUUCUUUCCACUAAUUCUUUAAAAUACCCAAACCCAGUCUCUUGAAGAGAUCGUGUUUCAUUUGAUUGUUUUACGAAACCUUGUGCAACCCAAAAUUGAACAAGCGUUUGUACAUCAAUUAUAUAAUCUUUUGGAUACAAUCGGCAAUAAGCAAAGCAAUGCUUCAAAUGGGCCGGGAGAUGAUCAUAACUCAACUUAAGUGUAGGUAGAAUAUUACCUUCGUUUUGAGAUAUUCUAGCAAGUUCAUUAUCUUUGAAGGAACACCACUCCUUUUCAGUUUCUUUGUAAGAUAAUGUACUUGCUAUCGUCCUUAUGACUAAAGGAACCCCACCACACCUUUCCAAAAUCUGUUGUCCUAUUUCCACAAAGGCUGAAUCUGUUGAGUCUGCAUAUCUUUGCUCAAAUGCUAUUUCUUUGAACAAAGACCAACCAUCGUAAUCAGACAAGCCUUUUAGAACAUGAGGCUGACAUUUACUAGUGAUCUUGGCUACCUUAAAAGAGCGAGUAGUUACUAUUAUCCUACUUCCUUUAGCCCCACCUAUCAAUAACUCUUUUAAACUAAUCCAAUUUUCCCGCUCAUCAUUCCAAAUGUCAUCCAAAACAAGUAAAUAUUUUUUCCCACCAAUUUUUUCUCGAAGUUGUUUUUGCAAUUGGUCAAUUUCGAGAUUUUGAUCUGGUGCUUGGCCAGUUGCAGAUUUGAUAAUGUUUUCUACAAUUAGUUUGACAUCAAAAACAUCCGAAACACACACCCAAAUCAUCAACUCAAAAUGAGUUUUGACCAUUUCAUCACUAUAGACAAACUGGGCCAAAGCAGUCUUCCCUAACCCUCCAAACCCCACAAUUGGAAUGAUGUAAACAUUCUCUUCACUUUCAAACUCUAGCACGAGUUUUUGAAGAGUUGCUUUAUCAUUAUCCCUCCCUAUUAUUUUAUCUUUAGGCACAAAAGAGUGUGUUUGCUGCCUCUUUUUAGUCAUGAAAGAGGUGUCCAAGGGGCGGUCACGCACCAUGAAGCCAAAAGUGUUGGCCUUCCUUUCAAUUGAAGCUAAUCUUGCCUUAAUGGCCUUAAUUUUCCGACCUAUUUUGAGACCGUAAGCAAACUGAUUUGAGCUUGAGAAGAAAAGGCGUACCUCUUUCAUCAGCUUUUUCCCACCCAUUAGAUCUUUCCGCAAAGUUUCGGUAGAGAAAUCAUCAAGCAAGUCAUCGGCAUCAUAAAGUGCAUCUUUCAGCGCCUCAAGCCAAACUGUAAUGAGAUUGUUGGUCAUUGAUUUCUCUUCUGCAUCAAGGAUCACAGCUUUGAUGGUGGAGACAGUGGUUCCGAGGUCAUCGAGGUCAUCUUUGACAUUCCACCACAGUCCAAUUUGAGAGACAGCGAAGGAGCUCAAUUUAGUAAUAAGCUCUACGGCAAUGUCGAAAGCAAUUGCUUCGGCCAUUGUUGGUUCAAAAAAUGUUUGAUUACUGCAAGAGGAGGAGUAAAAUGAAAAUGAUUGGAACAAGAUGCAACACAGAUGCGGAUCCAUACAUGCAGAGACUUUUUAAGUAUUUUUAUAGAUGAAAAUAAUUUUGGUCCACCAUGUUUCAUGUUUGACACAAUUUUUAUAAAUUAAAUUAAAUUUUCCUUUUAUUUUUUCAUUCCAAUUGCUCUCCACCAAUGCAUUGAAAUUAUUCCCAUCACAUGCUGAAGGAAAUAAAAGCCAUAGAUGUAAUCAAAUUAUUAUAUACUAUGUGUCUUCUUGGAAAAAGGGCUUGAGGGAUGGUCUUUCUUUAUUCAUUUAUUUGGUAAUUAUUAUAAUGCAAACUUUGACAAAUAAAGGUAUUAAUGGAAAUUUUCUUAUUUUGAAAAAUAAUGGUAUAAUGAUAUUUUUGGCCUCUAACUUUGUAAAAUAAUUAUUUUAGUCUUCCAUUUAUUUUCCUCUUCUUUUUGAAAAAUAAAGGUAUAAUAACCAUCUAAAAUGGAUUAAAAAGUUAAUGUUUGUUAACUUUACUGACGUGACACAUAGGUACCACAUGUAUGCCACAUUAGCAAUUAAAUAAUUUUAAAAAAUAAUUAAUUGCUUAUGUGGCUUAUAUACUGGCAAUCCACGUGUAUGUCACGUCAACAAAGUCGACAAAUAUUAAAUUUCUCACCCAUUUUGAGGUGAUUUGGCAGAAAACGCAAGUUUAAAAAUUAAAAUAAUUUUUUCUAUAAAGUUAGAGGACCAAAAGAGUCAUUAUGCAAAAAAAAUAAUUAUUUUCUUUUUUUGGUAUUUUUUUAUUGGUAUAAUUCUAAAUGGUGUGAAAUAGGUCCAUCAACUAAUCUUAUUAUUGUUAUUGCUGUUUUUAACCUCAUUAGAGCUAAUCUUACUGUCCAUAUAAAGAGAGUCUAAUUAUAAUUUGUUCAAUUUCUUAUAAAUAUGUUAGUGCUCUUUUGUAUGAUCAUAUGUAUCCAAUUGUUUUUAAUUUCAGUAGAGUUGAUCCAAUUGUCCAUCCAAAGAAAGCCAUAGGCUUAUCUAAGACUCCAUAUGUUUCAUUAAAAAUGAUUUCUAGAAAAUGAUUUAUGGAAAAUGACUUACUUUUUUAGAAAAGCUAAUAUUUUUUGGUGUUUGAAUGAAUUUGUGUAAGAUAUUUUCUAUUGUUUGGCAUAUUUUUAGAAAAUAUUUGACUGCCCCAAACCUAUUAUUCAAACUCUUUUUCCAACAUGACAUAGAACAAAAGAAUGUUCAACACCCUGAAAUUUAGGAGGUUAAUUAGAAUAAUUAAGUAUUAUUGUGUUAAUCUAAAACGAAAUCUGAUUAAGAGGUCUAAUUUGAAAAUAGUGUGUUUUAAUUAGCGUUGAUUUUAAAUUCACAAAAUUGAGAUAAUAACUUGUAUAAAACAAGUCUAGUAUUGAUAAUUGAUUUUGUAAAAAAACGGAGCCACCUAUACGGUUAAUGUGAUAUCUUCAGUUCAGGUCUAUUGUUUAGACCGGGUUAAGGAGAUUACAGAAUGAGAAUGAGGUAAAAUUUUCAAUAAUCAAGAAAUAAAAAUCAUCACCCCCACUUACAAAAAAACAAAUAAAGGAAUAUUGAAAGUUCUGCACUGCUUUUUCUUUCUUUAUAAUUGCAGCGCCAUCCAAAAUUGAAAGUUGUGCACACAUAUAUAUAUAAAGAAAGACGGUCCCUUAAAUCAUUUCUUCCUUAUUUUCUCUUUCUAAUCCUUUGACUCAUAACAGUCAUACAAAACUUUAACUACUACCAAAAAUAAGUGUAAGAAAGAUGGUAACAACUAUAAGAUAAUGGGAUUUUUAUUUAAUUAUUAUUAUUAUUAUUAUUAUUAAAUUGCUCUUGUUUUGGGAUUAAUUCUGUAUUGGGGUGGGUUCAUUCUAUGUGGUUCAAGUUCUAACAAGGUAUUGGAAUUCUCUAUUAGAGUAGUAAGGCCCCUGAUGCUCAUCACUCACAGGUUGAAUAUGAAGGAUGCACAAGUAAUUUGCACACCCAGAGUGUUUUGGCAGCCUAUGUAGAGAGGCAUCACAAACACCUACCUGCUUGACUCUUAUUUGAUUCGGAAAGAAUGGAAGAUAAGGCAAUUUCAGGGGCUUCAAACCACUGAAGUUGAUAUAGUUAAAAUAAAAUUGAUGAUGUAAAUAUUAGUAGACCCAAAAACUUAGCAAGAAUAUUAAAAGAAAAAUAGGCCAAUUUUUUAAAGAAAAAAAUGAAUUAAUUAUUUUUAUUAAAAAUUAUACCUCAUUUUUUGAGUAGAGGUAAGGAUUGCAAAACACGAAUAUUCGAUGAAUUCCGAAUCAAUCUGCUUCAAAGGGAGUAGAUUUUUUUUAAAAAGUGAAUGUGGGGUGGGAUGUGUGGAUUUUUUCUUUUGGACAAUGGGUAUGAAAUAAUUAUGAUAAUUGUUUGCCCCACUCUACUAUAUUAAAUUAUCAUCUUAUCUUUCGGAAUUUUGGUCUAUCUAAUCUGGUUAUAUAUGCACAUUAACAACAUCCUUUUCUUUAUAUGAGUUGCUUAAUUAGUCAUUAGUUUUUCACAUAUCAAAAUCCAAAAGAUAGCCUUACUAAAUGUGUAGCAUUGCGAUGAUAAUCAUUGGAUCAAUCUUGUUGUUUGUACGAAAUCGGUCCAUUGUAUAUUUGAGGUUGUGACUGAUAGCAUCUAUAAAUAAUCAUAUGAUUAUAGGAAUCCAAUUAUUUUUCUACUUCUAUUGCUUCCUUCAUGUUUUUUCACUUCAUGGUUCAAUUUGAUCUUUAACAUAUUGAUAUUAUCAUUUCCAGGUUCAUUGUUGCUGUAUAGAGGGAAUUGAUGGGGCCAGAAUCCUCCUAGGAGACCUUGAUUUCCUUAGCUCACCAAGAAACACCCCUGCCACAGCCCAUAUCCUUCCUUCCUUUCCAGGCAUCGAGAUUCCAAAAGAAAAGCCUUAUGUUUUGUUUAAAUGACAAGAACAAAUUACAAGGUGUGUUAUUCAACCUGUAAUUUGAUGUGUGCCAACAUUAGCAUCAACGCACAAGUCAUAUGUAUAUACAGCCAGGAGAUCGACUUCUUUUGGAAGAGUCCUAAUCCAAGCAUCAUAAUUGAACAAAGCCUUGGAAUACUGUCUAAAAAAAAUCAUUGUCUCAUAAUUAAUUGUGCAUACCUGCAUUUGAAUACUGUUUGGAACACUAAAAAUGUGUUUUUUCCUGAGUUGGUACAUAUUAUUCAACAAGGAAAUAAAGAACACAAUCAAGAUGUUUAUGCAGUUCAGAACUCGUCUUAAGUCUGCAGGGUCUUGCCCAAAAAUGAAUACACUAUGAACAUCACAGUACAAAGAAAUGAUUUAAGCCUAACCCCUUGAACACUUGAUACAAUCUCACUUUUAUACAAUUAAGUAAACUCUCUCCCAACUCAUUUUAGCUAUGCAAGUGAAAAUCAACAUUCGACACUCAAUGGUGUAUAACAAUAGCACUCAAUAAUAGUUCCUACUAUGAACAUGUAUGCUUCUUAAAAUUCACACAUUACUCAUAAAAUAAAUCAUCUAUAUAUAAGCUUGAGGAUUAAUGAAGCUCGUUCCAUAUAAAUAGAAACAAUAAAUUUCCAAAUGCAAUAUCUCUUACCAUUGUCAUGUUUGAAUUAGGAGUCUUCCAAAAGCAACAAUGAACCUGAAUAUUAUAAAUGCCAACGUAGAAUAUGUUACAAUUCCCAUAAUUUAUUUACACCUCAAAACCUUUUGCAAAAGAGAUUUAAUUAUUAUUUUUUACUAAAAUACUCACCAUUAUCAGCAUUAUGUUUGCACAUAUGUGUGUCCCUGUUCAUAUAAAUAAUGAAACAUUUUAUGAACCUCAACCUUACCACCAUAUAUUCUGAAGCAACUUCAUUUUUUUUCCUGUUUGGACCAUCAAUAACAAAUUUAGCUGAAAUUCCAAACACCUAAAAGGGUGAUUGUGAAUUUGAACGCCUCCAAUAGCCUGUGAAUAGCAUAGGUACCAUAUAAGAUAGUAAUCAAUUGGCAUAUAUUAAGAGAAAACAUAAAUAUAUAUAAACAUAUGAUAGGUAAGUGCUUAAAUUUGGAAAACGAACAAAACAGAGCAUAUAGUACAACCAUUUUGAAGGGUAGCAUGCAAGCUUCAUAGGCCUCUCUCUCCACAUCAAUGAUUUUUUAGAAUUAAAUUAUUAGUAGCCCUAAAAUUGAAGUCUAUAAAAUGAGAGAUAUGAAAAGAAGAACUAACCAUGUGGUCCUAUUUCAUCAUUGCAAUUCUCAAAUUAUUAUGAUUUUAAAGUGUAAAGCAAUUAGAUGUAUUACCACCUCUGUAAGGCCCAAAUUUUGCCCGGAGCCCAAUAAACCAAAUAAAUAAAUACAAUACCCAAUUACAGCCCAAAUAUUAAAAUCCUAAAAGCCCAAUUAGCCCAUAACCUUAACUAAUUUUCAUUAAAAAAAAAGAGAAAAAAAAACUUAGUCACCUCCACUUGCUCCACUUACACCUGCAAAAGUCAAAAGAAGAAAAAACAAAAAAGGGGGCAGAAAAGAAGCAAGAAAACAAAGAAAUAGAUAAUAACAAAUCCAUGGUAUUUCGGCUAUAAAGCCUGAAAUCCCGAAUUUUUUUGGGUACAAAAACAAGAAUAUUGUAAAAGGGAGGGGGAUUUUUUUUAUCAGAAAAAAAAAGAAGAUUGAAGAAAAAAAAGUGUAAUCUCUCUGAAGAUUUUUCUUUAAAAAAAACAGCAAGCAAUACAAAAAAAAAGAUAAUAACAAAGCCAUAAAAAAAGAAGAAGUGCAAACCGGCUUAAGGUUUUUUUCUUUUCUUUUUUAUUUUAUUAUUCGAAUCCAUCUCUUCUCAUUCAUGUAUUAAAAUAUAUCAAGGUCUAUAUAUAAGAAAUAUAAAAAAAAACCUUUUUGAAAUUUUCGGCCACUGUGCGCGGUGGCCGGCGACGGUGGCCGGCGGCGACGGACGGAGCCGGAGUUUGGUCGGAGGGAGAAGGCCUUGAGAGAGUUUGAGAGGAAGGGGUUAGUUUUUUUUUUUAUGAAAUGGGAAAAAUGAGUUUUUUUUUUUAGGAAUUUUCACUUGUAUAGCCCCAUCAAAACGACGUAAGUAUUUGGCUCUUAACCCAUGGCCGACCCGCGACCCGACCCGCUCCAACUUCAGGAUCCGCUUGUUUUCAUUGGAGGGGCUAUUUGCGCGUUUAGCCCUCCGCUUUUAUUACUUUGCAAUAAUUAUUUUUUAUUUUUAAUUUGGCACCAAAAUUUGUCGCAACUUUCAAUUUAAUCCUAGCUGAUGCUGUGCAUUUUAUAAAGGGGGUUAUUGCACUUUAGGCCCUCUGUUGUUUCACGCGCAUUUAAAUAGGCCCUUUUCUUCUUUUUUUUUUAUCUUUAAAUUUGCCCCAAAACUUCGUUUUUAAUUCGAAUUAGUCUCUUUUUUAAUUUAAGUUGAUUUUUAUAUUAUCUUUGCUACUUUAAUUUUUAAUAUUAGUUCCAAUAAUAUUAUAUAUAUGCUUUUAAAUACACUCCUUUAUUUUCUUUUAUUAUAAAUAUUAUUAUUUUAUUUUCUUUACGUUAUUAUUAUAUCGUAUCAUUUUUUUUAUCAUAUCAUUAUUAUUUUUCAUGCACACAUUAUUUUCAUGAUUAUUAUUGUGUUUAUUUUUACUACUAUUAUUGUAUUUAUUAUUAGUAUUAGUAUUAUAAUUACUAUUAUCAUACUUAUAUGUAUAUAUAUUUAUAUGUAAAGUUAUCUAUGGUUAUUUUAAUAUUAUUAUCAUCUUAAUAUUAAUAUGUACUUAUUUUUAACAUAUAUAUAUGUAUGUAUAUAUUUAUGAAGUAUUAUUAAUAAUUGUUUUGUAACAUUAUUAUUAUUAUUUCUAAUGUGUAUGUAUUAUAUAUUUUUAAUACUAUAUUAUGUAUAUAUUAUAUUAUAUAUAUUUAUUAUAUUUUUAUGUAUAUAUUUUUAAUAUCACAUUAUUCAUAUGUUUUUUUUAUACAUUAUCCCAUGUAAAUACUUUCAAUACUACAUUAUGCAUAUAUUUUUGUCUCUAUUAUAUAUAUACUUUUAAUAUUCAAUACUAUUAUUAUGAAUAUGUCUUUGGUAUACGUAUGUGUAUAUAUAUAUAUUUUAAUUCAUAUAUUAUUAUCAUUAUUUUCUACGUUAUAUUCUUAUUCUUAUUAUUAUUAUUGUUAUUAUUAUUAUUAUUAUCAUUGUCAUUGCCAUUUUUGUUGUUCCAUGUUUUAUUCAUUUUCAUUUAUUCGUUGAUUUGCUUAUGUCUUCGAUCAUUUCAUUUUCCUCAUGCAUUUGUUUAUAUUUACAUAUUACUAGUCUUGCUAUUACUUCAUCUUUUAUAAUUACUCAUAUUAUCGUUUUUGACACUGUCGCACCUAUUAUGUUAUUAUUCACAUUAAUAUUAUAAUUUGCUUUUAUGUUUUACUAUAAAUCACGUUAUUUUUCUUACUCAAUAUAUUAAAACAAUUCUUUCAUAAAAGUAAUAUUCCGUAUUAGGUAAUUCGAGAUAAUCGUACCCUAACUUACUGGGUUUCGAUUCUUCUUAUUUAACCUAAAUAAUGGAAUAUUCCUUUUAAUCACAAUGUGAGUUUUAAAAAAAAUGUUUAUUUUUGGAGAUACGAGGUGUGGCGCCCUAACUUACCGGGUAUGACAUGUUGUUACCUCGAAAUAAGAUUUUUCGCAAAUAAAGGCAAUACUCGGUGUUUGAUGAUUCGAGAAUCAUACCUUAUCGUGCUGGGUUGUGAUUUCUCGUUUGCUCAAAAACAAUCGAAUAUUCCUUUAGGUUUUCACCCAUGCUUAUUAAAAACCUUUCAAAACAAAGGAUGUUCGAUGAUUGGAUAUUUGAGAAUCGUGCCCUAUCGUGUUAGGUUGCGCUUUUUCAUUUAUUCUAAGCAAUCGAAGAUCCCUUUGAAGUUUCAUUCAUGUUUUCUAAAAACCCUUUAAAACGAAAGAAGUGUUUGAUGUUUGGGCAGUUCGGGGAAUAGUGCCCUAUCGUGCUGGGUUGCAAUCUCCCGUCUGACCGAAAUAAUCAAAUAUCUCUCCGGGAUUUCACUCGUAUUUUCCAAAGUGAGGCAAUGAUCAAUGUUUGGGAAUUCGAAGAAUCGUGCCCUACUGUGCUGGGUUUCGAUUUUUCGUUGGACUAAAUAGUUGAGCAUCCUUUCGUGAUUUUCGAAUUAUAAAUUUCCGGACAUCGAAACAAGAAAAUUUUUGACGAUUAACUCGGGUUAUUCAACUUUUAUUAAAAAAGGCCACAUUUCAAAAACAUUUUUAAUUUUAGACAUAAGGACAAUAUUUAAUCGAUUUGGUACCAAUUUUGGGCGUAGUGAGGGUGCUAAUCCUUCCUCAUGCGUAACCGACUCCCGAGCCCGUUUUCUAAAAUUUUUGUAGACCAAAAUUGUUGUUUUAGUAAAUCAUAAAUGUUUUAUUAAAAUAACCAAAUUUUUAGGUGAUCCGAUCACACCAAAACAAAAGAUCGGUGGCGACUCCAUGCAUUUGUUUUUCAAAAGUCGAUUACCCCUUUUUUAAAAUUUUUAAAUUUUUAAAUCAAGGAAUGAUUUCGACAACCUCUUUUUAUGCAUAUAAAUUAUUGAAGUUGACAAAUGCCUUUCACCAAACUACUCUCCAAUUGUUGGUGUUUUGGGACACUUUAUCCAGAGGAAGUAUGGACUUUAGUCUGGAACUUAAACAACAAUGUAAUGAAUCCGGAUAAAGAAUGAAGAAAACUUGAAAAUUCAAGUUAGGAGAUUUGAGCUUGAAAAACAGAAUGAAAUUGAAGGCAAGAAAUGAGAGAGUAUUUUAGAUGAAAUUCUAAUGAAUUUUCAUUCACUUGAAUGAAGGCUUAAAGCCAAUACAUAUACCAGUAUUACAGCUAGUCAACAUAAACAACUUUCACCUAAACAACUACAUACUACCAUUAAUUAACAUUGAAACUUGUAAAACAUUGCUUGUACAUUUUGACAAGCUGAUUUAUCAAUAUACUAGCACCUAUUUACAUCAAAAUGCGUCACCUAUUUAGUUCAAAUCUGACUAAAUUACAAAACAAUAUUUAAGGUAACUAAACAGAAUGAAAUACGAUAGCAGUAAUGUGCUUCAGCAUCUGCAUGCAUACUUCAUGUGCUGAAGGUUUGGCCUGAUCUACUUCUCUAUACUUCAUCCGCAUAACUUGUGCUACAUAGUCAUCUCCUUGCUGCUUCAUGUGUUGUAUGCAUACUUCAUCCGGUAAUAAUAUAGUAGCUUGAUCUUCCAGGUUGAUCUUCAACACUUCAUCCGCAUGACUUGUGUUGCUUGGUCUGCUUCUUGGCUGCUUCUUAUGCUGCAUGCAGGCCAACUUCAAACUCCUCAUUGGCUUGCAUACUGCAUAGUUCUGACUGAUCCCUUUACAACCAGCCUUGAUUUAAGUUUGUUCAAGCUACCAUCAGCAUUUUGCUUGGUUCGAAACACCCUCUUCACUCUAAUAACCUUCUUGUUGGCUGGUCUUGGAACUAAAUCCCAAGUUUGAUUCUUGUCUAUCAUGCUCAUCUCAUCGAGCAUGGCCUGCUUCCAUCCUUGUUGAGCUUUAGCUUCUUCAAAAUAGCAUGGUUCAAUAGCAACUACUUCAGCUCUUUCAUAAAUAUCAACCAAUCGUCUAGUGCCUCUGACUGGUUCAUCAUCAAUGUCCAUUUCAGGACCAUCUUGAUCAGCUUCAGCUUGAUCUAUUACAAGAUCUUUAGAGACUUCAUCUUUGACGCUACAAUCGGAUUUCUUAGAAUCUUGAGUUCUUUUCGAAAAAACGUUCUCAUUAACUUCAACAGUUUCCCGAGCUUUAGGCUUCUUGGUCUUAUUUUCCAGCUCUUGUUGCGCUUUUUUCUUUGCAGCUUCUGCUGAAGCCAACUGGUCUUUGAGGUUCUUCAGUUCUUCUUGUGCUUGCCUCAGUUGAGAUUCUAAAUCUACAAUAUGAGUGCCAAGCUUCUUUUGGUUCAAUAGAUCAGAUUGUGUAGCACCUCUUGGUGAACGACGAUAUCCAAGCUUAGGACUACUACGAUCAAUAAUGGGUCGAUGAUGCAAAGGCUCUGAAUUAGAACUCGAUGGCCUAACCUGAUGCGUGCCUCGAGGAUAUUGCCUUUGUGGCAUGUCUACAACAAAUCUUUUGUCAGCCAUGGUUACUGACAUGAGCUUGGAUCCACUUGAAUCACUAAUUAGGCAUUCUUUGCUUUUGAAUAUACUGAAUAUCCUUUUUUGAAGUAGUUGAGCAAUGAAUUUCUAUCAAUUUCAGGCACCAACAAGACAUUUGUAACAAGUUUGGUACCUGUAGGAGUGUUUAUCAGCACAUUUCCUUUGCCUUCAGCUUUGAUGAAGUGUCUAUUUCCAACCUUCACCCUUAUUUUGAAGCUUCUGUCAAUUGACUUAAAGAUAGCGGCAUUAGGGGUCAUAUGGUUUGUGUAACCACUGUCAAUUAGCCAUCAUUCUGUGGCUUUUCUUUUGGUAGACGAACAAGAGACAACAAAGACUCGUUCUUCUUGAUCACUUUCUUUUUCUGCUACUUGAGCUUCAGCUAUUGGUUGUUGAGUUUGAUUUGGUCUUUGUCUACUUUUGUUUCUGCAGACUUUUUUAGCAUGGCCCAUCCUGUUGCAGAAGUUGCACUGCACAUCAGGCCUGAACCAACAUACUUCACCCAAAUGACUUACCCUUUUGCAGUAUAGGCAGGGUGGAUAUCUUCUUUCACAAUCUGAUUUAGGCUUGGUUGACCAGGUUUCCUUUCCUUUGUACGCAGAGGAGCUUGAGACUGGUCUGUUUUUAGCUUGGAAGGCGCUUUCAUGAUGCUCUUCCUAUCUGCUGGCCCUUUUUUGCUCUUGAGCGUAAAAUAGCAUUGAUCAGCUCUGUCAAUGAGAUACUGGUCAGAUCUCUUGAGUCUUCAAUGGAUGAUAUCUUUGCCUCAUACCUUUCAGGCAAGGUUGAGAUCACAUUCUCCACAAUUCUUGCUUCACUAAACUAUUCCCCAAGUAGCCUUAUGCUGUUUACUACAGCCAUGAUUCUGUCUGAGUACUGUUUGACAGUUUCUUCCUCCUUCAUCUUCAAGUUCUCGAACUCUCUUCUCAAAUUCAAAAGUUGUUGUUGCCUUGUUCUUUCAGUCCCUUGGAACUUAUCUUUCAAUCUGUCCCAGGCCUCCUUUGGUAUUUCACAAGCCAUGAUUUUUAUGAAAAUCACAUCAAACACACUAUUCUGAAUGCAAGAUAUGGCUUUGUGCCUUUUGGUUCUUUCAUCUGCAUGUUGUCUGAUUUGAGCCACUAUUGGAUUGGCUCUAAGAGGUGCUGGUUCAACAUCUGAGUUGACAACCUCCCACAAAUCGAAUGCCUGUAGGUAGGUCUUCAUUUUCACUACCCAAAUAUGGUAGCCCUCUCCUUUGAAAAUUGGUGGUGGAGCUGGUGGAAAACUUGAGGAAGACAUGGUUUUUAAGGAUUAGAAUAUGACAAGUCCACUAAGAAUUUGGCUCUAGAUACCAAUUGUUGGUGUUUUGGGACACUUUAUCUGGAGGAAGUAUGGACUUCAAUCUGGAACUUAAACAACAAUGUAAUGAUUCCAGAUAAAGAAUGAAGAAAACUUGAAAAUUUAAGUCAGGAGAUUUGAGUUUGAAAAACAGAAUGAAAUUGAAGGCAAGAAAAUAGAGAGUAUUUUAGAUGAAAUUCUAAUAAAUUUUCAUUCAUUUGAAUGAAGUCUUAAAGCCAAUACAUAUACCAGUAUUACAGUUGGUCAACAUAAACAACUUUCACCUAAACAACUUCCUACUAUCACUAAGUAACAUUGAAACUUGUAAAACAUUGCUUGUACACUUUGACAAGCUGAUUUAUCAAUUAACCAGCACCUAUUUACAUCAAAAUAUGUCACCUAUUUAGUUCAAAUCUGACUAAAUUACAAAAUAAUAUUUAAGGUAACUAAACAUAAUAAAAUACGAUAGCAGUAAUGUGCUUCAGCAUCUGCAUACAUACUUUAUGUGUUGAAGGUAUGGCUUGAUUUGCUUCUCUAUACUUCAUCCGCAUAACUUGUGCUACAUAGUCAGCUCCUUGCUGCUUCAUGUGUUGUAUGCAUACUUCAUCCAGUAAUAAUAUAACAGCUUGAUCUUCCAGGUUGAUCUUCAACACUUCAUCCGUAUGACUUGUGUUGCUUGGUCAGCUCCUUGGCUGCUUCUUAUGCUGCAUGCAGGCCAACUUCAACACCAAUGCCUUAUCGCACAAAUUAGAAAAAUAUUAUGAAAGAUGGUAAGUAAACAGUAGGAUUAAAACCAAUGAAUUUCAAUUCAUAUAAGAUGUCAAAUGAAUAAUAUUUUAACAGUAUCCAACUUGAAUUAAAAAUGGCAUGAGAGCCCAGAGUUGGAGACUAAAUAUACCACUCAAAGUUUUUUUGAAAAAAAGCAGAUCAUAAAAAUAAAUAAAUAACAAGGAUGGACCAACCUGAUUAAAACCAAAUGUUGGGGAUGUGAGCAAUCUUAUGCCAAUCAGCGCCAAUGUCCUUCCGACAUCUUUCCUGCAACUGAAUUUGUUCUAUCUGUAAAAUUUGCAAAUUGGUUAGGCAACACAUCUCGUCUGGAAGCGAUUUUAAAUUCGGCAAAUGCUUGAGACAGAUUUUUCAGAUUUGUCAGAUGUUGAAGCCACUCCGAAAGAUGCAGACACUCUGGAAUAGUUUCCAGCGAUAGAGAGAAUAGGCUUGUAUAAUUUUGGAAUAUUUGGAUGCCAGCUAUAGAUAACUCAAGCUCCUUGCAGUCGCUUACUUCAAACUUUUCAAGGAAAGUAAGAUGUUGGAACACAGGAAAGAGUAACUUCAAUCUGCUGCAGUUACGGAUUGCAAAUGUUUUCAAUUGAACAAGAUGUUGAAGCCAAAGAGAAGAGAUACCAGCUGAGGAAUUUGUUCUAUAUAAAUUUUCCAAACUGGUUAGGCAACGCAUCUUGUUCGGAAGCGAUGUUAAAUUGGGAAAAUCCCUGAGACAGAGCCUUUGCAGAUUUUUUAGAUGUUGAAGCCACUUCGGAAGAUACCGAUACUUUGGAAUGUUUGCCAACGUUAGAUAGCGCAGGCUUGUAUGAUCUUGGAAUAUUUGGAAGCCGACUGCUGAUAGCUCCAGCUCCUCGCAGUUGCUUAUUGAAAAGUCUUCAAUCCACCAAAAAAUGAAUAAUCUAAACAACUAAGUUGGUUACAAUAGUUGUUAAUAGAUAGUUCGUAUUUAGACCAAAACGCACCCUUUAAUCCAUCUAUUCUCUUCCCUCCCCAAUAGCUAAACACGGUAAUAGCAACUAACAUAAUACAAACAUAUUAACAGAAUUCAAAAUCCUCCCAUAACACGAGCCUCCCAUAAUCCCACACUAGUUUGAAGACAACAUUCUUAUGUUAUUAUGGUGCAGUUUAAGACAACAUUUUUAUGUUUUUAUUUUCUAACUUCUUAGUGCACUACAAUACUUAGGCAACAGAGCCGACCAUAUAUCAUUCAGGCGACAGAACUGACCAUAUAUCAUUUUUAUUAAUAUACAAUAUAAUUACAAUAUGACACACACUUCUCUCUUGCAUCAUUACAAGAAUGAAAGCUCUUACCCCUAUUUAUAGAGUUAAGUGGUCGUUGGCUUGUUGGCGCAUGUCAACAUCCUUGCCAUUAAUGUUACAAAUAUCUAAUAGUUAGAAUGUUCAUCUAGAAUAUCUAGUCUUCUAGAUAAUAUUUUAUUUCUUUAUUUUAUAUUCUAAAAUCUUCCAAAAAAAUCUCUCUUAAAGGAUAAGUUUGGUUUUUAUCUACAAGUUGCAUUAGCUUCCAACAACUUUGAUACCCAUAGGGAUUAUUGUGAUAAGGACUCCAUCAACUUACUUAAACGACAAGGCAUUGAUUCCUAGAAGAACAAAUCCAAGGGCAUCCUUUCUAGCAAUUUCGGAAUGAUACUUUCCGACUUCUUGUUAAACUAUUUCAAAGAUUUAACUUGGAUCAAAUUCCAUAAUGCUUAUGAUUUCAGGUUUUUAUUGAAGAUUAUGACACAACAAUCGCUGCCAAAUAGUGCAAUUCUUUUAUAGAACAAUUGGCUUAUUAUUUUGGUCAAAAGAUUUUCGACAUCAAACAUAUUUUCAAGUUCUUUAGCUUGUUGGGUGGUUAAAAAAAAGUGGCAAACAAAUUGAACGUGUCUCGGCUAGUUGGAACAAGCCAUCAAGUAAGAUCCGAUAGUCUAUUUACUCUCCAAUGCUUUACAGAGUUGAAGAAAUAGAAGAGUUUUGAGGACAAUCCGAAUCAACUUAUGUUGCCUGCACUUGCACUAUAUAGUUCGGUUUCUGCGAUAUGAUUGAUUUUCCUUUUAAGAUUUAUGAGAUUGCAUUAACAUUUUUUUUAAGUCCACACAUAUUAUUUUUUAAAAAUAUAAAAUAUAUUUAUAUUAUUUUAAAUUUAAUAUUUAAUAAUUUUACGUAUCUAUUUCUAUUAAAAUUUUAUAUAUAGUUAUCUUAACACGUUUUCUCACCGUUUGAUGUAUUAUAAAAAAAAAUCUUAACAUUUUUUAAUGUUUACACAAUAGUAUUAUAUAUUUAAUUUUUAUUUGUUAUAAAUUACAUAAUAUAUAAAAAUAACAUAAUAUAAAACAUUACAAACUAAAAAAUGGGUAGAGCCCUUGAGCUUGACCCAUAUCUUAAGCAGGUGUAAUUUUUUUACCCAAAUCCCCUCAAAUUUUGGGCGAACCUUCGAACUUAACGCAACUCUUGAACAGGUCUAACUUAAACUAAAUUUAUUAUAUUCUCUCUCUUUUUUUCCCUAUUAUUUUGGGUUAACAAUACAUUUAUUAAACCUUAAUUGCUCCAAUAAGGCUGAUUAUAUAUUAAAGUUUGACAAUGAUCUUACAAGAUAUGACAUCUAUCUAUUAAUUGAAAAUUAAACCCCCAAAUAUAUGCUAACAUGUAUCUUACAAAUUUAUUUUAUCCUACCAAGUCAAGAAAUUUUCACUCCACACAAUCAUAUGCUUUUUCAAAAGUUAUUUUAAAAGAUAUUACCUCCUUUUUCUUCACUUCUUUGAAUAUAGUCCACAACUUCCCAUCUAGGAUAUAUCAAUCCGAAAUAAAAGCAAAAUUGACUUUUAUUGAUGGCCUUGAGCGAAGCUUCGAAUCUAUAUAAUCAAAAUAUUUCUUUGUUUGGAUAUAAAGAUCAACGAGGUUAGUGGACUUUACCUUAAUUAAAUUGAAAAUAGCUCACAAAGCACAAAUUAAAAAUAUAUAGACAUCUCUUCUCCCCUUGCAAGCUUGAGUUGUUGAGCUACGAUAACUGAUGAAAUAAUACAAUCCCCUAUUUAAAAAAUACAAGGUGGUGGAGUGCUUGUACUAUUAUAAAUAAAUGCAGUUUCUCCACUUUUAAAUCAUCCAAAAAAUUGACAUUUUCAUCAUAAGAAAUUUUCCCUCUUUCUAUUUGCAAAUCUUUUGCAAUGAAAUAUAUUUGGUUUGUAAGUGUAAUUUGCUAAAUCUUGUAAAAUUUCUAGUGUUUUUUAUUAUUAUGAUUUUCUAUAACAAUAAUUUACUUUCUUUUACCUUAUUUACACAAUACUAACCUUAUUCAUAUAAUAUUAAUUUUACCCAAAAUUUUCUUCUUCAACAAAGAAACUAAUGCUCAAUUAAAACAAAAACCCUAAAAUACAAAAGUUAAUGGAAGAUAAAAGAAGACAUUGGAUCUAGGUAUAAUUGUUUUGUAUUGCAGGGCAUCCAUAUUUUCAUCCUCAACAUUUGGUAUGUGAAGGGAGCUAAGCUAAGCAUUCAGCCAAUCAUUAGGUACUGAAGCGCUUUCAUUAAGAUAAUGUACACAAACUUGCCUGAUUAUUAGUUGUGUUUCCAUGUAUUGGAACAUUAUCUAAAACACAAAAAGAGAAAAAUGUAGUUUUUUUAAGUUAGACACACAUACAAGUAAAAAUAAAGAAGAAUAAAGACCACAAUCAAGAUGUUUACGCAAUUCGGAACUCGUCCUACGUCUGGGGGAUCUUGUCCAGAGAUGAAUUCACUAUGAACUUUACAGUACAAAUAAAUUAUUUAUGCCCAACCCUCCAAACUUGGUGCAACCUCACCUUUGUACGAUUAACCAAACACUCUUCCAACUUACUUUAGCUAUACAAAGGAAAAUCAACACUGAAAUAGUGGCACUUAAUAAUAGUUCCUCACUAAAUGUUCCUCUAAAUCCCCACAUCACCCACGAAACAAAUCAUCUAUAUAUAUAAGCUCCAGGAUCAACCAAGCUUUACAUAAAUAUUUCUUCUAGAAUCUCAAUGCGAUGAGACAUUGCAAUCCUCGAGAGAAAGAAAGGAAGAACUUGGGUAAUGGCAGGGUGUUUCUUAGUGAGCCCAUCAAUUCUCUCUAUAUAGCAACAAUGAACCUGCAAAUUAUAAAUGCCAAUACAUAUUAUGUUAAAAUUUAUGUCAUUUAGACCGUGCAGUGUCCUAAUGUAGAAGAAACACUUUCUUUUACUAAAUAGAACUUUAUAUUAUGUGCAUGAAUGGUGGCUAACCACAAAGCCGUUGUCUAUGAUUUUCCACCGUAAGUUUUAUGAAAGGGCCAAACAUUGGGCAUUGUCAUCUGUAAUAGUAACAAAUUCCCAUUUCCAUUAGUCUUCACACCUCAAAACGUACUGCAAAAGAGAUUUAAUUAUUUUUUACUAAAAUACUCACCAGUAUCAACCUUACAUAUGUGCUCUUUUAAAUCCACUCACUCAUGGAACAAAUUAUCUAAAUAUAAGCUUCGGGAUGGACCAAGCUUUACAUAAGCUCCAUGUAAACUGAAAAAACAAAUUUUCAAAUGCAAUAUCAUUCAGCCUAUCUUCAAUUGUCAUGCUUGAAGUAGGACUUUUCCAAAAGCAACAACGAACCUGGAAACUAUAAAUGCUAAUAUAGUAUACGUUAAAAUUUAUCUAUUUAAGACCAAGCUGUGUCCAAAUGUAGAAACACUUAACUGUUACAGAACCCAACUUUAUAUCAUGUGCAUCAAUGGUGGCUAACCACAAACCCGUUGUCUAUGCUUUUCCAGUGCAAGCUUAACAAAGGGCCAAACAUUGGGCAUCAUCAUCAUCAUCAUCUGUAAUGGUAACAAAUUCACAUCCCGGUUAGUGUUAAUAUAUUGUUGUUCAUCUAUAAAUAAUGAAAACAUUUUAUCAACUUCAAAAUUCUAACAGCUGAAAGGGGUGCCCUGCAUCAAAGAAUAUUGUGAAAUAUCCCCCUCUCUUCCCUCCAUUUUCAUCAACCCUUAACCUCCUAGCCCCUAUUCAAAUUACUUACUUGACAACCACAUUGCGUGUUUAAGCUCUUCGAACACAACUCCAAGAAUCUGUCAAUAGCAUAGGUACCAUAUAAGCUGCUGGCAUAUAUAUUACAACUCUUGAAAUACUCCAUAUAUAUAAUUUAUAUCAGAUCAAUUGGGAAUUAUAAGGAAACUGAUGACAUAUAUUACCAUUUUUGUUUUGUUGGAAUAUUUUGGCAGAUGAACAGAUGGUAGUUGAACAUAUAUUACCUCUGCUUCUUGUAAUAUCUGCUAUGCUCUGCCGAAGAAGAGAGCGAAAAUCUAACAAAAAUUAGGAUUAGAUCAUCAGAGGGACUCUUCAACAAAAAAAAAAAAAAAAAAAAAAAAAAAAAAAGAAAAAGAAAGAACAAAUGUGCAUAGAGAGGAGGAUUUCAUGGGAGUACAAUGCCAUGGACAGAUCAGCUGAUGAAGAAUGCAUGUCCUGUUUUUUGGCUCUUCCAUUGAACACAUGCUGAAAAAGAAGAAGCUUAGUUAGGAUGGUUAUAUUAGAUCAUUUGAAAUUGUGAGAUUGUUGUGAUUUAAACACCUCUUUUUCUGCAUCUAAAUUCUUAAAGUUGUCAAAUGCCUUUCAGAAAAAUACAGGCCAAUGGAAUAUCUGGGCAGAUAACAAAUCCGGCUAGAAAGUAUGGUCUCUGCUUUUUGUAUUGCAUGCUAUGCUCUGCCGAAGAAUAGACUUCACACUAAAUCUAAAUUAUUCGAUUUUGUUUUAUUGAAUCAAAUAGAAAAUAGAAGAAAAGAAAUGAGUGAUAUGAAUUACCUGUCAUUCCUUGUUGAUGUAUACACAAUAGGAUUUCAUCACAUCAUUGCAAUGGUGAGAAAAUAAAAAAACAAUUAGUGGAAGAUAAAAGAAGACAUUGGUAAUUUAAUGGAGCUAAGCUAAGCAUUCAACCAAUCAUUUUAUUAGCCUCACCUCCAAUUAUGCUGAAGCAAGAUUGUUUCCUGUUUCGACCCCAACCCUGUUUAGUUUACUUACUUGACAAGGACAUUGCGCGUUUAAGCUCUCUCAACAUGCCUCUAACAAGAACCUCCCAAUAGAAUAGGGUACCAUCUAAGCUAGUAGUCAUUUGGUAUAUGUAUUACAACUCUUGACAUACUCCAUUUACAUCAUUAAUAUCAGACCAAUUAGAGAUUAGGAGGAAAUUGGUGACAUAUAUUACCAUUUUUUGUUGUUGGAA
rnacentral:lncRNA from 1 species